rnacentral:rRNA from 1 species
UACGUAGGUUGCGAGCGUUGUCCGGAUUUAUUGGGCGUAAAGAGCGCGCAGGCGGUCGUCCAAGUCGCGUGUGAAAGCCCCCGGCUCAACUGGGGAGGGUCACGCGAUACUGUUCGACUCGAGGGCAGGAGAGGGUAGUGGAAUUCCCGGUGUAGUGGUGAAAUGCGUAGAUAUCGGGAGGAACACCAGUGGCGAAGGCGGCUACCUGGCCUGUUCUUGACGCUGAGGCGCGAAAGCUAGGGGAGCAAACGGG